GCGUGCGCGUGAUUUGGCCCUGAACGGACGCCGUAGCCGAGAGGUUGGGCGGAUGUUGUGAACCGGGUCGCGGCGGCCGAGGCUCGGGCCUCCAGGACCACUGGCUGCCCAUGAGAGACGAAGGAUGGCAUCCAAGGGGGCCGGCGUGUCUUUCUCCCGCAAGAGCUGUAGGCUGACCUCAGAUGCUGAGAAAUCCAGGGUCACAGGCAUUGUGCAGGAGAAGCUGCUGAAUGACUACCUGAACCGCAUCUUUCCUCUUCUGACCAUGCACCCCCAGCAGCCACCGGCAGGGACCCGCUGCAGCUG
rnacentral:lncRNA from 1 species